UAUGGAUGAAUGAGUUUGAAGUUAAUUGGACAAAACUAGCCAGUAUUAAGUAAUGAAAUGAAAAGAAAAACAAAUAAAUAAUACAGUUGAGGUGGUUUUUGAGAUGGGAAAAGUAGGUUAAUGUUGGAGGCAUACUUCCAAAUGUCUUAUAAAGGAAAUAAAGAUAUAUAAGGCCAAGUGUUUCGACCAAUUUCGUCCAAUUAGCUAUAUACUUUUAUGCAGAAAAAAACCGUUUUUGCAGUGAGAGUGAUUAUUAGAAUAUACACAGAACAGAAGAGAGUUGGUUUGGCUGGUCGUAGAUUGAUAUCGAAAUCUCCCGCUGCUUUGUGGCGUGUGGCGGAGUGUUUGCAGCCAUCUUGAAAUUAAUGACUGUUCACCGGCGGCCGAGAGAGGAGUCAUCAAAGCCUAAUAUUAAUUGUUUGCCUACUUAAACAGUACCUAAUUUUUCAGCCUCGAUGAAGCAGGUAAAGGAGGCGACAAAAAAAGAGCAAAGCAAAGGGCAUAAAACCAAGAACAAUUUGAAUAUUUAUGGGACAUUUUUCGGCACUUAAAAAGGCUACAAGGCAUGUAAUGUGGGAAUAUGUCACCCAGGGUACUUCAUGGUUGUGACAUGUUGCCUUGGAACAUUAUUUUUUGAGCAGGAAGUGAUCUUUUUAUUACAAGUUUGAUUGGUUGAGGCCUAAAAUGAUGUUAACACUAUAUACAUGGGUUUAGAGGGUCAAAAGUCAUUGAUCAUACUUUUUUGCUAUCUCUCUAGCUCUUUAAGAUCAUUGAAUUCUCUAAGAAGUUCAUCAAGAAAGUUAAUUGCUCUUGAAGUUAAUCAAUUCUCAUUUCCAUGGUGUAGAAUCUCAAGCAAGCAAUCUCAUAGAGGGUUGAAAUAUAGAAUUAGGAAAAAAAUUAUGUA